GACGAACGCUGGCGGCGUGCUUAACACAUGCAAGUCGAACGGGAUUUAGUAAACAGAAGCCUCGGUGGAAGAUUACUAAUGAGAGUGGCGAACGGGUGAGUAACGCGUGAGCAACCUGCCUAUGACAGUGGGAUAGCCUCGGGAAACCGGGAUUAAUACCGCAUAAAAUCGUAGAAACACAUGUUUUAACGGUCAAAGAUUUAUCGGUCAUAGAUGGGCUCGCGUCUGAUUAGCUAGUUGGUGAGAUAACAGCCCACCAAGGCGACGAUCAGUAGCCGGUCUGAGAGGAUGAACGGCCACAUUGGAACUGAGACACGGUCCAAACUCCUACGGGAGGCAGCAGUGGGGAAUAUUGCACAAUGGGGGAAACCCUGAUGCAGCGACGCCGCGUGAACGAAGAAGGUAUUCGUAUCGUAAAGUUCUGUCCUAUGGGAAGAUAAUGACAGUACCAUAGAAGAAAGCUCCGGCUAAAUACGUGCCAGCCGCCGCGGUAA
rnacentral:rRNA from 2 species